UACGAAGGGGCUAGCGUUGCUCGGAAUCACUGGGCGUAAAGGGUGCGUAGGCGGGUCUUAAGUCAGGGGUGAAAUCCUGGAGCUCAACUCCAGAACUGCCUUUGAUACUGGCGCCUUGAGUCGGAGAGGUGAGUGGAACUGCGAGUGUAGAGGUGAAAUUCGUAGAUAUUCGCAAGAACACCAGUGGCGAAGGCGGCUCACUGGCCCGGUACUGACGCUGAGGUGCGAAAGCGUGGGGAGCAAACAGG
rnacentral:rRNA from 1 species